GAUGAACGCUGGCGGCGUGCUUAACACAUGCAAGUCGAACGAAGCACCUUGAUUCGAUUCUUCGGAUGAAGAUCGUGGGGCCUGAGUGGCGGACGGGUGAGUAACGCGUGGGUAACCUGCCUCAUACAGGGGGAUAACAGUUAGAAAUGACUGCUAAUACCGCAUAAGACCACCGCACCGCAUAGUGCAGGGGUAAAAACUCCGGUGGUAUGAGAUGGACCCGCGUCUGAUUAGGUAGUUGGUGGGGUAACGGCCUCCCAAGCCGACGUGCAGUAGCCGACCUGUGAGGCUCACCCCACACUUUGGGACUGGGCCACCGCCCAGACUCCUACGGGAUGCAGCAGUGGGGAAUAUUGCACAAUGGGGGAAACCCUGAUGCAGCGACGCCGCGUGAGCGAUGAAGUAUUUCGGUAUGUAAAGCUCUAUCAGCAGGGAAGAAAAUGACGGUACCUGACUAAGAAGCCCCGGCUAACUACGUG
rnacentral:rRNA from 1 species